rnacentral:rRNA from 1 species
UACGUAGGGUGCAAGCGUUAAUCGGAAUUACUGGGCGUAAAGCGUGCGCAGGCGGUUUUGUAAGUCAGAUGUGAAAUCCCCGGGCUUAACCUGGGAACUGCGUUUGAAACUACAAGGCUAGAGUGUGGCAGAGGAGGGUAGAAUUCCACGUGUAGCAGUGAAAUGCGUAGAGAUGUGGAGGAAUACCGAUGGCGAAGGCAGCCCCCUGGGUCAAUACUGACGCUCAUGCACGAAAGCGUGGGGAGCAAACAGG